GAUGAAGAUAUUAGACUUUUUUAUCUUCAAUAAAAUGCUCUUUUUAAGCUAUUUA
rnacentral:tRNA from 1 species